rnacentral:tRNA from 1 species
GUCUUUGUAGUAUAUUAAUUACCCUGGUCUUGUAAACCAGAAAAGGAGGAUAUUGUCCUCCCCAAGACCUU